UACAGAGGGUGCGAGCGUUGUUCGGAAUUACUGGGCGUAAAGGGCGCGUAGGCGGCGCAACAAGUCACUUGUGAAAUCUCCGGGCUUAACCCGGAGCGGCCAAGUGAUACUGUCGUGCUAGAGUGCGGAAGGGGCUACUGGAAUUCUCGGUGUAGCGGUGAAAUGCGUAGAUAUCGAGAGGAACACCUGCGGCGAAGGCGGGUAGCUGGGCCGACACUGACGCUGAGGCGCGAAAGCCAGGGGAGCGAACGGG
rnacentral:rRNA from 1 species